UCCCUGGUCGUCUAGAGGCAGGACAUCUGACUUUGACUCAGAGAACGUGUGGUUCGAAUCCCACCCAGGGAG
rnacentral:tRNA from 1 species